rnacentral:rRNA from 1 species
UACGAAGGGGGCUAGCGUUGCUCGGAAUCACUGGGCGUAAAGCGCACGUAGGCGGACUUGUCAGUCAGGGGUGAAAUCCCGGGGCUCAACCUCGGAACUGCCUCUGAUACAGCAAGUCUUGAGUCCGGAAGAGGUGGGUGGAAUUCCUAGUGUAGAGGUGAAAUUCGUAGAUAUUAGGAAGAACACCGGUGGCGAAGGCGGCCCACUGGUCCGGUACUGACGCUGAGGUGCGAAAGCGUGGGGAGCAAACAGG